rnacentral:tRNA from 1 species
ACUUUUAAUGGGUAACAGCACACCCACCAACCUUAGGCGUUGGCCACUCU